rnacentral:piRNA from 2 species
UAGUCUGUUCAGGGCCAAUAAUUAACCCUA